rnacentral:rRNA from 1 species
GAUGAACGCUGGCGGCGUGCCUAAUACAUGCAAGUCGAGCGAACGGACGAGAAGCUUGCUUUUCUGAUGUUAGCGGCGGACGGGUGAGUAACACGUGGAUAACCUACCUAUAAGACUGGGAUAACUUCGGGAAACCGGAGCUAAUACCGGAUAAUAUUUUGAACCGCAUGGUUCAAAAGUGAAAGACGGUCUUGCUGUUACUUAUAGAUGGAUCCGCGCUGCAUUAGCUAGUUGGUAAGGUAACGGCUUACCAAGGCAACGAUGCAUAGCCGACCUGAGAGGGUGAUCGGCCACACUGGAACUGAGACACGGUCCAGACUCCUACGGGAGGCAGCAGUAGGGAAUCUUCCGCAAUGGGCGAAAGCCUGACGGAGCAACGCCGCGUGAGUUAUGAAGGUCUUCGGAUCGUAAAACUCUGUUAUUAGGGAAGAACAUAUGUGUAAGUAACUGUGCACAUCUUGACGGUACCUAAUCAGAAAGCCACGGCUAACUACGUG